UACGUAGGGUGCAAGCCGUUUGAUCCGGAAUUAUUGGGGCGUAAAGAGCUCGUAGGCGGUCUGUCACGUCGGCUGUGAAAACCCGAGGCUCAACCUCGGGCCUGCAGUCGAUACGGGCAACUAGAGACUGCAGGGGAGACUGGAAUUCCUGGUGUAGCGGUGAAAUGCGCAGAUAUCAGGAGGAACACCGGUGGCGAAGGCGGGUCUCUGGGCAGUAACUGACGCUGGAGGAGCGAA
rnacentral:rRNA from 1 species